rnacentral:tRNA from 1 species
GGGCGGUUAGCUCAGCGGUAGAGCACUGUCUUCACACGGCAGGAGUCACUGGUUCGAACCCAGUACCGCCCACCA